GAUGAACGCUGACAGAAUGCUUAACACAUGCAAGUCCACUUGAAUUUGGGUUUUUACCUUCGGUUUGGGUGGCGGACGGGUGAGUAACGCGUAAAGAACUUGCCUCACAGCUAGGGACAACAUUUGGAAACGAAUGCUAAUACCUAAUAUUAUGAUAAUAGCGCCUCCUAUAAUUAUGAAAGCUAUAAGCGCUGUGAGAGAGCUUUGCGUCCCAUUAGCUAGUUGGAGAGGUAACGGCUCACCAAGGCGAGGAUGGGUAGCCGGUCUGAGAGGGUGAUCGGCAACAAGGGAACUGAGACACGGCCAUAACUCUUACGGGAGGCAGCAGGGGGGAAUAUUGGAAAAUGGACCGAGAGUGUGAUACAGAAAUUCUGUGUGCACGAUGAAGUUUUUGGGAAUGUAAAGUGCUUGCAGGUGGGAAGAAACAAAUGACGGUACCAACAGAAGAAGUGACGGCUAAAUACGUG
rnacentral:rRNA from 1 species